UACGGAGGAUGCGAGCGUUAUCCGGAUUUAUUGGGUUUAAAGGGUGCGUAGGCGGACUGUCAAGUCAGCGGUAAAAUUGAGAGGCUCAACCUCUUCCCGCCGUUGAAACUGGUGGUCUUGAGUGGAUGAGAAGUACGCGGAAUGCGUGGUGUAGCGAUGAAAUGCAUAGAUAUCACGCAGAACUCCGAUUGCGAAGGCAGCGUACCGGCAUCCAACUGACGCUGAGGCACGAAAGCGUGGGGAUCAAACAGG
rnacentral:rRNA from 1 species